UUCUUCGUUUUAAAAGAGAGAGAGGGGGACAGAGGCUUCAUAGGAGUUCGAACGGAACUCUUGUGUUCCCAGAAUCUAGUGAGCAUCCGCCGUGUCGACCGCCGCUGACCGACGCCAGUCGCCAGCAGCGUAAGAGAGAGAUAAAGAAGUCGCUCGAUCCGUCUCCUCGUCUGGAUCGAGAAUCCGAGCCUUGUUUAAGCAAACAGUGCCUCAAAAGUUGUAGAUCUAAAGAGAUCUUUUCGACUUCCGUAUUUUCGGAGGUCCUCGAAGUAAUCGACGAGCACCGAGACGGGGUGUGUUUCUGUCACUGUUUGGUGCAAAUCUGUUGGUGCCGGCGUCAGAAACAGUCGGCGAGGGUGAGGCUCGGCUUGAUCGGCGGCUGCUAAGCUGGUUGAGAUCAUUAGGGUGAAACCCUAAUCCUUGUGCGAUCUGGACCGUUGGAUGGGUCCAGAUCCAAUGGUGGAGAUAAAGGGGCGGCUAGGAGCGGUUAUGUUGAAAACCCUAAUCUGUUUUAGGGUUUUAGAUUGGGCCGGUUCAGGUUGGCCAUGGGUCUUGUCCUGGACACUGGGUUGAUUUUGUAAUCUGGGUCUGGUUUCAGUUGGGUUACUGGAUUAGGCUCUGGGUGAGGGCUUUGGGCUUGUACUGCUGGGCUUGUAAUUGGGCUCCCAUUUGGGCUUGGAUGAAGACCUGAUGGGCUUGUAAUUUAGCCUACAAAAUGUAAAUAAUUUUGUUAAUUAUAAUAUUUUUGUUAA